GGGUUGUGAGGUUAAGCGACUAAGCGUACACGGUGGAUGCCCUGGCAGUCAGAGGCGAUGAAGGACGUGCUAAUCUGCGAUAAGCGCCGGUAAGGUGAUAUGAACCGUUAUAACCGGCGAUUUCCGAAUGGGGAAACCCAGUGUGA
rnacentral:rRNA from 36 species